UAUAUUAAAAGCAUUAUGUAAAUACUUGGCAUUAGCCAGAAUAGUAUAUCAUAUUUUCCUUAAACUAGUUUGUAAGAGUGCAAAUGCUUGCCAGGCACAUUGAAACAUUGGCACGCUAGUCCCUCUAAAUAACAACUCUCUACUUAAUUACGACAAGAGCUAUAACAGAUAGCAGUUAGAAUAACAGGAACUGUCAACACUUAUGCCGAAUAAUCAGUAAUGCUUCUAAAAAGGUUCCUAAUAUCAGUGGUGAAA